rnacentral:rRNA from 1 species
CAGUCGCCACGGUAAAACGAAGGGGGCUAGCGUUGUUCGGAUUUACUGGGCGUAAAGCGCACGUAGGCGGACUUUUAAGUCAGGGGUGAAAUCCCGGGGCUCAACCCCGGAACUGCCUUUGAUACUGGAAGUCUUGAGUAUGGUAGAGGUGAGUGGAAUUCCGAGUGUAGAGGUGAAAUUCGUAGAUAUUCGGAGGAACACCAGUGGCGAAGGCGGCUCACUGGACCAUUACUGACGCUGAGGUGCGAAAGCGUGGGGAGCAAACAGGAUUAGAUACCCCUGUAGUCCCUGUCUCUUAUAA